rnacentral:rRNA from 1 species
AGUGAACGCUGGCGGUAGGCCUAACACAUGCAAGUCGAACGGCAGCACAGGAGAGCUUGCUCUCUGGGUGGCGAGUGGCGGACGGGUGAGGAAUACGUCGGAAUCUACUCUGUCGUGGGGGAUAACGUAGGGAAACUUACGCUAAUACCGCAUACGACCUACGGGUGAAAGCAGGGGAUCUUCGGACCUUGCGCGAUUGAAUGAGCCGAUGUCGGAUUAGCUAGUUGGCGGGGUAAAGGCCCACCAAGGCGACGAUCCGUAGCUGGUCUGAGAGGAUGAUCAGCCACACUGGAACUGAGACACGGUCCAGACUCCUACGGGAGGCAGCAGUGGGGAAUAUUGGACAAUGGGCGCAAGCCUGAUCCAGCCAUACCGCGUGGGUGAAGAAGGCCUUCGGGUUGUAAAGCCCUUUUGUUGGGAAAGAAAUCCAGCUGGCUAAUACCCGGUUGGGAUGACGCUACCCAAAGAAUAAGCACCGGCUAACUUCGUGCCAGCCGCCGCGGUAA